rnacentral:rRNA from 1 species
AACGAACGCUGGCGGCAUGCCUAACACAUGCAAGUCGAACGAAGCCUUCGGGCUUAGUGGCGCACGGGUGCGUAACACGUGGGAAUCUGCCCUUUGGUUCGGAAUAACAGUUAGAAAUGACUGCUAAUACCGGAUAAUGACGUAAGUCCAAAGAUUUAUCGCCGAAGGAUGAGCCCGCGUAGGAUUAGGUAGUUGGUGGGGGUAAAUGGCCCACCAAGCCGACGAUCCUUAGCUGGUCUGAGAGGAUGAUCAGCCACACUGGGACUGAGACACGGCCCAGACUCCUACGGGAGGCAGCAGUGGGGAAUAUUGGACAAUGGGCGAAAGCCUGAUCCAGCAAUGCCGCGUGAGUGAUGAAGGCCUUAGGGUUGUAAAGCUCUUUUACCAGGGAUGAUAAUGACAGUACCUGGAGAAUAAGCUCCGGCUAACUCCGUGCCAGCAGCCGCGGUAAU